rnacentral:rRNA from 1 species
UCAGCUAGCUCUAGCCCCACCAACUCUCACAUGGUCCCUCGCUGAAGCUAAGCAGGGCUGCGCCUGGUCAGUACCUGGAUGGGAGACCACAUGGGAAAGCUAGGUUGCUGUUAGUG